CUUGUUUAUUAUAGGGUCGCGUUGCGGGGGGAGGGGUACAGCCCGUGACCGCGCUGGCUGGGGAGGCUGGGAAACUUGAGGGGCGGUGGGGAGGGAGGACAGUGACUCUCAGCGAUUGAGAUCCCAAGGGCUAAGGACACAGCGGGGCACACGGGAGGAUGCUCUGGGACUGCGGCGCGGGGGCGACGUUGACCCCGUCAGCCUCGCGCCCCGCGCUGUCCCUGCCUGGUGGAGGCUGGGCUGUGGGGGUGGGGUCUGAAGCCUGUGUGCGCCCCCUGCCCGGGUCCCGCCUGCCUGUGACUCCGCACCCCCGGGGAAUGGAUUCUCAGGAUCCCUGUCCCCCACCCCACAAGCCCAGUCCCCAAGCCCUAUCCGGCCACCCCCCCACACACAGCUGUGCUUGGUUGGUGCCUAGAGGGGUGCUCACACCCCCGGCUCACAGUACCCAAGGUCCGCCCGGCCCAGGGCGCCUCCCGCUGGCCCCGGGGACGGCCGCACGCAGCCCACUUGUCACGGGGCGUCCGCCGGGUCCUAGAACCCUUCCCCACUCUUUGUAUGAAAGCUCCAGCGAUCCUCGGGACCGAGGGCCGAGCUCUCCGUAAAAGCCCCGUAGUGCAAUGGCCAUUGUAGGUUUCGUCAUCCAGGCGGGGCCGCAGGAAAUCUGGCCCGGCAGCGGUGUUGCAGGGCUGAUAGAGGUGGCUGAGGGUGGGAGGAGACUGGGAUUGACUGGACCUUUAUUUCUUUAAAGGGUUAUCAAUCUGGGACAGACGGCUCUGAUGGAAGAGAGAACCAAACUUACAUCAGACACUUGACCCCUUGGCCAGGAGCCAAACCAGAUCAGCCAGACGAGCCUCCCCCAGGGCAGGCUUGUACAUGACAGGCUAUGCCACCCGCUGGGAGCCUGAAAGACACUAAAUCAAGGUGGUUCCAUCAAGUGCUGGUGCAGGUGACAAGCCUCCUUUCAAAUCAUCUUUACUAAGGCACGGUUAUAGAAGACAGAAGAUGCUAACCUUUCCAGAGCGUCAAGAGAGCUAUCUGGGUCGAAGGCCAUUUUCUUGAAGCUUCCUUCGGAUAUCAGAGGCUGACUGAGUGAUGAAUUUAUCUUCAAGAAUACCCUGACCCUCUGCUGACUCUGGUGACAAAGAUGUGUACUUACUUACAGCCUCCUGUAGUUGGUCUAAAAAGGCCCAGGGAUCUUUGUCCUUCCCUUGGCUGACAGUUGACAACUUAGAAUAGUUUACAAGUUUAGACCUAGCUCUCCUCAGGUCCUGAAGAACACAAGUUAAAAAGGGUCUUCUGUUCUGUGCCCCGCUGUGGUAUUGGGGUCCCAGUGGGGAUCCCGUAAUGGGACUGCCUGAGCUCCUAUGGGGAAUGGCUGUUCUCCUGACCCUAACUCCUGUGGUCCUUUGGAAUGGAUUAGAUGUGUCUCGUCCCCAAAGCCCCUUAAUUCUCACUAGGGGUCAGGGUCAGGUUUAAAAAUAACCACAUCUUCCCAAGCUAAGUAAAAAGACUGAGUAAGUCCUGUAAAAACUUCGAGGAUCAUCUGAAAAUUUCCCUAAGUCUUGUUUUAUUUUUUUAUCUUUUCUUGUUUUAUUUGUUUAAGAUUGCAGAGGGAAAAUGACAUAUGUAUCCAUGUAGAGAGUAUGAAUCUUUUUUUUUUUUUUUUUGUAUAGGGGAUCAAACUAAGGUCCUUUUGCUUGAUGAGGCAGGUGGCAGAACCACUGAACUAAAUCCCUGGCCUGAGCCUACUGAAUCUGGAGUGGCUUAGGGGCUUCAGGGCAUGGAGGGCAGAGGGGAGGAGCUUCAGACCCAGCCUUGGUGGAGAUAUCAGAUCUGCUGGUUACAACCAUCUGAUUUUCUUUUGGAUCACACCCACACUUGGAGCGUAAGUCAGGGUUAUCUCUCAGAGCAAAGAAGACUUGAACAUAAGCGACCGCUGAUCAUUUCCCUUCUCUUUUACAAAAUAAUUCCAAUUGAAGGAUAGUUUUUUGUGUGUUUUUUGU